GACGGAGGAUGCAAGCGUUAUCCGGAAUGAUUGGGCGCAAAGCGUCUGCAGGUGGCAGUUCAAGUCUGCUGUCAAAGACCGGGGCUUAACUUCGGAAAGGCAGUGGAAACUGAACAGCUAGAGUAUGGUAGGGGCAGAGGGAAUUCCUGGUGUAGCGGUGAAAUGCGUAGAGAUCAGGAAGAACAUCGGUGGCGAAGGCGCUCUGCUGGACCAUAACUGACACUCAGGGACGAAAGCUAGGGGAGCGAAUGGG
rnacentral:rRNA from 1 species